UACGUAGGGUGCAAGCGUUUGUCCGGAAUUAUUGGGCGUAAAGAGCUCGUAGGCGGCUUGUCACGUCGGAUGUGAAAGCCCGAGGCUUAACCUCGGGUCUGCAUUCGAUACGGGCUAGCUAGAGUGUGGUAGGGGAGAUCGAAUUCCUGGUGUAGCGGUGAAAUGCGCAGAUAUCAGGAGGAACACCGGUGGCGAAGGCGGAUCUCUGGGCCAUUACUGACGCUGAGGAGCGAAAGCGUGGGGAGCGAACAGG
rnacentral:rRNA from 1 species